rnacentral:rRNA from 1 species
AUGAAGAAUGCAGCUAGCUGCGAGAAUUAAUGUGAAUUGCAGGACACAUUGAUCAUCGACACUUUGAAUGCACUUGCAGCCCCGAGUUCCUCUUGGGGCUAUGCCUGUCUGAGAGUCG